AGCGGAUGCAAUCUGAAAUUGCGAAUAUACUAUAUCAAACCAAUGUCUCAACGAGACGAUAAGUUGGGGUUCCGAAAGCGGUAAAACAGGUGGUCUAACCGACACACGCGAUUACACGAAAGUAGCAAAGAUGGCUAAACUUUAUCUAAUCAAAACCCAAGGCUCCUUGGGGGGCUCAUGGGGUAUAUAAAGGAGGAGGGAGAGAUAUUUUCUUCCACCUUGAGUAAGGAGGCCGAAAU
rnacentral:lncRNA from 1 species